rnacentral:rRNA from 1 species
UAGACAGACUGCCGUGGACAACACGGAGGAAGGUGGGGAGUGACGUCAAAUCAUCAUGCCCCUUAUGAUCUGGGCUACACACGUGCUACAAUGGCCGGUACAACGGGCAGCGAAGGAGCAAUCCGGAGCGAAUCCUAAAAAGCCGGUCCCAGUUCGGAUUGCAGGCUGAAACUCGCCUACAUGAAGUUGGAGUUGCUAGUAAUCGCGAAUCAGAAUGUCGCGGUGAAUGCGUUCCCGGGUCUU